rnacentral:rRNA from 1 species
CCUUGUUUAACAAAAACAUGUCCUUAAGAUUAUAAUUUAAGGUCUAAUCUGCCCACUGAAAUUUUAAAUGGCCGCAGUAUUUUGACUGUGCUAAGGUAGCAUAAUAAAUAGUUUUUUAAUUGAAAGCUGGAAUGAAUGAUUGGAUGAGGUAAAAGCUGUCUUAAAUUUAGUAAGUUAGAAUUUUAUUUUUAAGUUAAAAAGCUUAAAUUUGAUUAAAAGACGAGAAGACCCUAUAGAGUUUUAUAAUAAUUUAAAAUUAAAAUAAAAUUUAAUUUUUAUAUUUUAUCUUAUUAUUUUGUUGGGGUGAUAGAAAAAUUUAAUAAACUUUUUUUUUAUUUUUACAUUAAUAAAUGAAUAUUUGAUCCAUUAAUUAUGAUUAUAAGAAUAAAUUACCUUAGGGAUAACAGCGUAAUUUUUUUUUAGAGUUCUAAUCGAAAAAAAAGAUUGCGACCUCGAUGUUGGAUUAAAGUUAAAUUAUGGUGAAGAAGCUAUAAAUUUAAGUCUGUUCGACUUUUAAAACUUUACAUGAUCUGAGUU